rnacentral:rRNA from 1 species
UUAAGCUACUAAGGGCGCACAGUGGAUGCCUUGGCACCAGGAGCCGAAGAAGGGCGCGGUAAGACUGCGAAAAGCCCCGGGGAGCUGUCGAACAAGCAUUGAUCCGGGGGUAUCCGAAUGGGGCAACCCACUCCCGAGCAAUCGGGGGGACCCCUGGCCGAACACAUUAGGCCAGGGGAGGGCACCGGGGGAACUGAAACAUCUAAGUACCCCGAGGAAAAGAGAUUAUUCCCUGAGUAGUGGCGAACGAAAGGGGAGCAGCCUAAACUCUCAGCACUGAGUGGCCUUGGGGCCUAUGUACUGGGGGGGUUGUAAGGCGGGCGGCCUCGGCCCAAGCCGGGGCAGGGAGUUACAAACCUAACCUCUAGCCGAAGGUCCCUGGAACGGGCCACCGCAGGCGGUGAUAGUCCGGUAGGCGAAAGGGGUGAGGCUCCCGCCCAGUCCUUGAGUACCACGGGACACGAGGAAUCCCGUGGGAAGCUGGGGAGACCACUCUCCAAGGCUAAAUACUCCUGGUGACCGAUAGUGAACUAGUACCGUGAGGGAAAGGUGAAAAGCACCCCGGAAGGGGAGUUAAAAGACCUGAAACUGUGUGCCUACAAGCGGUCGGAGUCCCGACGCAAGUCGGGAUGACGGCGUGCCUAUUGAAGAAUGAGCCGGCGAGUUAAUUCUAGGUGGCCGCAGGUUAAGCCAGUGGACUGGCGGAGCCGUAGCGAAAGCGAGUCCGAAUAGGGCAUCGUCCGCAAGGACAGGUCGCCUGGAUUAGACCCGAAGCGGGGUGAGCUAUCCAUGGCCAGGGUGAAGCCUCUUUAAAACGAGGUGGAGGCCCGAACGGGUGGUCUGUGCAAAGACCUCCGAUGAGUUGUGGAUAGAGGUGAAAUGCCAACCGAACUCCGAAAUAGCUGGUUCUCCCCGAAAUGCAUUUAGGUGGAGCCUCCGGGUAGGAGCUGUGGAGGUAGGGCUCUGGAUGGGCUAGGGGGUGAGUAACCUACCAAACUCAACCAAACCACGAAUGCCACAGCUUAACCCCGGGGAGUGAGGCGGCGGGGGAUAACCUUCAUCGCCAAACAGGGAAACAACCCAAACCAUCAGCUAAGGUCCCCAAGAGCAGGCUAAGUGGGCAAGGAUGUGGGCCUGCAGAGACAGCCAGGAUGUUGGCUCAGAAGCAGCCAUCAUUUAAAGAGUGCGUAACAGCUCACUGGUCGAGUGGACCCGCGCCAACAACUCAAGGGGCUAAGUCUGCCACCGAAGCUAUGGCUCUUCCCGAUUUAUCGGGGAGGGGGUAGGGGAGCGUUCCGUCUCCGUUGAAGCUAGGGUGUAAACCACUGGUGGAGGUGACGGAAGUGCGAAUGCCGGCACGAGUAGCGUUAACCCUGGUGAGAAACCGGGGCACCGAAAACCUAAGGUUUCCUACGCAAGGUUAAUCCGCGUAGGGUUAGUCGGCCCUAAGCCGAGGCCGAAAGGCGUAGGCGAUGGAUAGCAGGUCAACAUUCCUGCACCACCUUUUCCUGGACAAAGACGUCGAGGGGUGACCCAGAAAGGUAGACCGGGCGUGCCCAUUGGACAUGGUGCGUCCUCUCCUCUAGGCGGGGGCUGGUAGGUAAAUCCGCUGGCCCGUUAAGCUGAGGGGAGGGGGAAGUCAAGGGGCAACCCGAGGCGAUCCGGUUGAGCCUAGGCUGGCAAGAAAAACCUCGCGACGACAGGUAAGGGUGCCCGUACCGCAAACCGCCACCGGUAGGUGGGGACAAGGAUCCCCAGGUGUUCGAGACAACCCUCCUUAAGGAACUAGGCAAGUUGACUCCGUAACUUCGGGAAAAGGAGUGCCCUCGAGGUGAACCCUUUACUGGGGGAGCCCCGAGGGUCGCAGAGAGCAGGCCUGGGCAACUGUUUAUCAAAAACACAGGUCUCUGCCAAAGCGAAAGCUGAGGUAUAGGGGCUGAUGCCUGCCCAGUGUCGGAAGGUUAAGGGGAGGGGUGCUGAGCCCUGAACUGAAGCCCCGAUGAACGGCGGCCGUAACUCUAACGGUCCUAAGGUAGCGAAGUCCCUUGUCGGGUAAGUUCCGACCCGCACGAAUGGCAUCAUGACUUGGGCGCUGUCUCAAGGAGGGGCUCGGUGAAACUGAAGUACCCGUGAAGAUGCAGGUUACCCGCGGCAGGACAAAAAGACCCUGUGAAGCUUUACUGCAACUUGGUAUGGGUUCGAAGCUCAACCUGUGUAGGAUAGGUGGGAGGCUGUGAAACCUCGGCGCUAGCCGGGGUGGAGCCAACGUUGAAAUACCACUCUGGUUGGGUUUUGGACCUAACCUCAGAACAAGCUGGGGGACAAUGCCUGGUGGGCAGUUUGACUGGGGCGGUCGCCUCCCAAAAGGUAACGGAGGCGCCCAAAGGUCCCCUCAAGGCGUAUGGAAAUCGCCUGUGGAGUGCAUGGGCAUAAGGGGGCUUGACUGCGAGACCUACAAGUCGAGCAGGGACG